rnacentral:rRNA from 1 species
GGCAUGGUGAACCUGGCCCGCGCCGUUAGGUUGUGAGUGCCGGGUUUCGCCUGUCAUCCUUCUAGAUAGCAGCUCUACCCCUCACGGGGCCGGAGUUUGCCGUCUAGAUCUUUUACUUUGAAAAAAUUAGAGUGUUUCAAGCAGGCUUAUGCUAUGAAUACAUUAGCAUGGAAUAAUCAACUAGGACUUCGGUUCUAUUUUGUUGGUUUCUAGGACUGAAGUA